UUAGCUUGGACACUUGUUGUUCAGAGCGGGUCUUCACCGAUAGAAUUAUUCCUGCGCAACAAUUCACAGUGGGUUCAUUUGACAAUGUAAAACAGCCACUAGCAGGAGGUAGGACAUGGUUCCAGCAAUGCAGAAAUGUCAGUUUAUGGUUCCAACUGCAAGGUCUAAUUUGGGAACAUCUUGUAUUCUGCUUUCCACACAAAAUCCUUUGCCUCCCAGUGAGAAAAGCCCAGCGGAAGAUCAAGAUGUUCCCUGCAGCACCCCAGGAGGGAUGAUGGAGCCGCAGCAGAACAACAGAGCCAUCAAACCCACGCGGGUGCAGUUCACCUUGCUCCCUGCUAAAGCAUUGCCAGGAGGAUCCUGCGAUGCAAACAACGCUGUGCGUCACCACCCUUCAGGAGGGAGCGAUGCAAGAACAGCCUUCUGGUGUCUUGCAGGAGAACGUGCUGCUGUAUGCCCGUCACCGAGGCAUUGCACCCACACCAGCAAUGGGUUGCUAUUGCUCUGUAGAGAUCACAGCCUUGCAAAGGUCGCACUCCAGUCAAACUUAAUUUGGUGAGAGAACAGGAGCCUGUGCUCUUUCUUUAACAUACAAAGGAACCCAGGGAAGGGCAGCAAACCCAACCUGUGCCACGUACCAUUGAUGAUCCUGGCCACACGCCACAGCCGCAGCAGAAUCAGGAGCCCCACGGCUUCAAACUCGUGCUCCCGAAAGAGGAGGACGAGGUCAAGGAUGAAGGACACGACCACAACGAUGCUGUCCAGCACUUCGAACUUGUGGUGGAAGAACUCCCGGCCGUAAACAAAGAUUUUAAACCCCACCUCAACCAGGAAGAUGGUGAGAAUAGACAGGGAAAGGUAGUGGAAAACCUGUGGAAAGAGAGAGUGGAUUUAGGGCUAGGAACCCCAUCUGUGUGUGGGGCAGGCUGGAAGCCACUCGAAGACGCCUCUGGUUGAGCUCUGCAGGAGACUUUGGCUGAGCCAGAGGAGGGUGGUGAGCACAAUAGAGCUGUGCUGAGCCCAAGGAAACACUGAGCUGCUGCACAGACCGUGGCCUGGUCAGCUUUCUGACAGGCACCAAACAGGGGUAAAAAGCAGUUCACCUUGAUUCCUUCCUGUGUGUUACCUUUGGGGCUAUGUGAUACUUGUCCGGAUGGAUGAUCUUCAAGUCCAUCAGCAGUUCCCCAAGGACCAGCAAGGCAUCCACGAUGACCAAGAAGACAACGACAAUCUGUUGGAGAAGAACUCAGGUGAACCUCUCCUAGUGCAGCAAAUGGGCACGAGCCCAUAGGAAUCCACUCAGCUCCCACCCCGCACCAGAUCCUACAUCAUCUGUGCUCCCACAGGUGCCUUCAGGCCGAGCUUUGCCCUCGUUUCCCUUUAACCUGUACUUGCUCCACCUCACCUGAAACCUGCGUGAACUGAAGAGCUUCUUCAUCACAUCUUGGAAGGUGACGCGACCACGGGACGGCUCCAAUUUGAUCUCCGAGUCCUUCUCCCCAUUGUCCUCCUCCUCUUCCUCCCAUUUCUGGUAAUCGUUGCUCCACUGGACGGGAUCAUCCCCCACCACCGUGAAGUGCUUCAGGUACCGGGACAUGGCUGCGGAUCAAGCGGGCAUCCCCUGCAGCGAGACCAGAGCUGAGCAUCACUCACCUCCCUGGGGAUCUCAAACCUCCCAUUUCAGCACCGUGUGACAAGAGCCGCGCUCCGUUCUGAGAACAAAGCCUACGGACGGGAAAUUGCUACACGGUGCUGCUGCUCGCUUUGCAUCACUGCCCACAGCGCUGCCUGAGCCCCCACCGCCCUCCCGGGGCUCCGUGCACUGCUGAACCCUGAGACUCUUCCUCAGCAUGUUACUUCCAACCAUACCCAAACUUCGGUUACAGGAGAAAAACAGCAGCCCUUACUGAGACCAGUCCUCGCUGCACACCCAGAGCCUUUCCCAGCCCUUCGGGCAGCCUCAGCCCAGCUCCUCCCGGCCUCUGUCACCCCAAACAACAGCCGUGACUUCCCUUCCUUCACAUCACCCCAGUCCCAACCCGUGGAUGUGGCCUGACACCCAGCAUUGCUGCGGGAAGGGCUCCGUCUGCUCCUGCGUUCCCCUUUUGCAGCCCUUCCUCUUCUGGAGGACUUGGCGAGGCUGCCCAGCCCACCAACCCCACUGAGACUCCUCUCCUGUACUAGCACAUAACUGCAUCCCCGUCCCCAUCCAUUCCUGGCCAGGAGCCCAGCACGGGCCGACGCUCGAGGCUGCCGAGCUGUGGGGCCAUCAAUCAGAGUCCAGAGCCACCACUGUGUCACAGGACAACACGACCCAACCCCAACCUCUCCAACUCUGUUGACACCGAACCGGAGCCACCACGUUCCCGACACGGAGCCAAGACCCAAAAGAAGACGAAAGCCCUCCCAACACCUUCACUCUCAGCCCGGGUUGUGAAGCCGUGACCAGGCCCCACCGAUCCACAGCCCCCACUACCCCCAUAACCCCCAUAACCCCGUACCGUGCGUCCCACCGCCGCUGUUUCCCUCCCGCUGCAACGGAGCUCCCAGCCCCGGCCCCGCCUCUCCCGGCCGGGGGCGGCCCCACUGCCCCGGCCCAGCCCCGCCGACCCCCCCAGCCCGGAGCCCCGCUCCCUUCGUGCUGACGCUUUCCGUUUUCGCAGCAUUUCCUAUGCAUCCCCCAGGUCUGUCCCGCUGGACGGCCCUGAGCGGAAGCUGCACGAAGCGGAUGGGAACUUUAGGGCUGUUUUCCCAAACUUUUGCAACAGACCGACACGAGGAUGGGAUGAGCACGGCAGGGAACAGCGGACCCACCUCCAUUUCUAGGGGCCCUGCUCGCUUUGGGAAGCGCAGUGAGAAAACUCAGCUGCAAAAGGCUCAGGGAGGAUCCUCUGCUGAAAUAAACUCCAAUACCCUCCGUGCAGCACCAGGCAAAAGCUCCCUCUGUUUUUACCUGUUUCUUUUCCCUCCAAAGGAGCCUCAGACCUCAGGCACAACGAUCUCUGGGCGCCUUAACACAAGCACAGUCCUGUCCCCAGCCCGUUCCCCACAGUGAAUGGGAAGCAGUGCACGCAACACCCAGUGCAGGACCCCACAGCGCCUACCUGCAGAGAGCAGCACAGGUGGGACCCUGCAGGGAGGGGAUUUAUUGAGCCUGGGCGUUUCCAGCUCAUUGAGGUGUUUGGUUUCAGCUGGCCCCAAAACAACGGGACGAUCAGCAGAAGGCACCAGCUCGGGGUGAAGCUGCAGCCGGCAGCGAUUCCCCAUGAGGGUCCUACAGCCUCGGACCUGCUCUCAGUGAGGAGCGCAGAGAUUUGAGCUCGUGAGGAUUUACCGUCAGCUCACCGUGUUCGUGUAUGGCCAGAGCACAACCCAACGCAGCCGGCUGGGUCCUACCAAACUAAAAGAGGAGGGAUUUAGGUUGGAUAUAAGGAAGUUGUUCACACUGAGGGCAGUGAUGCACUGCACAGGGUGCACAGAAGAGGUGGAGGUGCCCCAUCCCUGCAGACACCCACAGUCAGGGGAUGGGGCUGUGAGCACUGAUGGAGCUGUGGGUGUCCCUGAGCACUGCAGGCAGUGGGAGCAGAUGGCUUUGAGGUUCCCAUCUGACUCCAACUAUUCUGUGAUUGGUCAUUUUUAAUCCAUUUGCUGAAGUCACUCUUGAAAAUACAUCUGCCAUGAGUGGACGUAGUGUUUUCUACACAGCUUUUUAUAGUAACGAUGCUUUGAACCCUGUUAAUUGCAGGAUGAGCCUCCCUGCACUGGGAUGGUGUUGGGCUGUGGGUGCUGGGGCAGAGCAGGAGCCCAGCGCUGCUGCACCCCGUGCUGUUCCAUCGCUGUGGAUGGAGGUGUGGCACAUUGGCCACCUGCACCCAAAGCAGAACAUGCAGAGCAAAAGGAAGGGCCUGGGCUGCAUCUGACAAAGACACGCACUCCCCAAGGUCCCCAAAGAGAAUGUGCUCAGUGUCACGUUCUGCAAAGCCACUGCUUUGAAUAAGAACCGCUCUGCACAGCCCCGUGUGAGCCAACGGCACAGGGAGCUCAGCCCAUCAGCACCUGCACUGCAGCCUCACAGCCCCUGUGCUUUAGGCUGCCCUGCAGCACACAGGCCUGAUGCUGCUGCAGCCAAUUGCUCUCUUCUAGAUCCACUCGUCAUUCAGCAGUUACUGUUAUCCAUGCAUUAAAGCUGAAUCUAAAGGACAUUGCUAACACUGGGGCAGACGUUGCUGUAACUCCUGUGUGGCCUGAGCGCCUUUGGCCCAGUCCUACACUUUGCACAAGCAAAAUGAAUGCUGUGUUCUUCAAUUCACCAGCACUGCAGCUGCACAACGCAGGGCUGACACAUCCCAAAGCAAAGCAGGGACAGCACAGAGGGCAGGAACCUUCCCCACAGCCACAGUGAGCUCUGGGACUUCCUUUAUGCUGGGGAAUGCAGCCAGGCAGAAAACAGAGCCCAGAAUAGGCACAUGUGUCAAUAAACCACAUCUGAGAGCAGAGCUGGAGUCAGAGGAACAAGGUGUGACAUGGCACUGGGUGCUGCUGCACAGAUGGGUUCAUGCAUUCCUUUAGCUACGAGUGGGAUCCGGCUCUGCAUGUUCUGUUAACCAGAUCAGGAAUGAUGUACAUCACUGUUUUACAUGGUGGACCAAAAAUGAGAAAGCCAUCAAGAAAACCACAGUGUGAUUUAAGAGAUGAGAGCAAGCCCUCUUGCAGGCAAUCCAGCACCUCAUCUAAUGGGGCCAUCAACAGUUACAUGGCUACUCUGAUUAAUUAGUUUUAGAAAGCAAAAUCUUCCAAGUGGGGAAACGCUUCCAUUUAGCGGAGCAGCGCAUUUAGAAGUGUGAUGAUCAAUAGCUGGGAUGCACUGGGCAGGGCCCAUCAAAGUCCAGCUCACUGCAGGGGAAAGGAACAGAACUGAUCUGAUAAGCAGGAUGCCAGAGCAGGGCUGGCAGCCAACAAGGCAGGUGUCUCAGUGAUACCCUGACAGCACUGAGUGCCUGUAGCCCCUGGCACAGCCCUGACACAGCUCAGACAAAUCAAACCAGAAGUGUGUGGGUUUCCAGAAGGAUUUAUUUAUCUAAGUCAUGUCCUGUGAUAGCAGUAGUGUAUAACGUUGUGAUAAACCGACACCGAGAGGAUUUAACAACUUGGUCGUUUAAUAAGUGAUUUUCACUACAUGGUAUUGUACACUGUCAUCUGUUCAAAAAAGGUUCUCAGUCUUUAAAAAAGAAGAUACCGUCAGGUACCUGCACCAGCCGCUGAGCAGUGCCUGGGUUGGCUCUGCGAGCUGCUUCCUGGGCGUCUCCAUAGGGCAAAGUCUUUAGGCCAAAAUGCACAAAGCCAUUCAGGCAGGUGUGGAACCGUUCCUGUAACUUCCAGCUGUGUGACACGGCUGCCACGGGGCUGAUGCAACCGUAACAAGUCCAUUGGAUACCACAAACUGUACAAAAGUGUUUAAUUUUCCCAUAAUAGAACAAACAGCACAGCAUUUCUACUGCUAUUUCAAGUCAAGACUUCCUUUUCUCUCCGCGAGGAAGGCAUGAAUGGGAAGCCCUGCCAGCUCAGCGCGGUGGGUCACAUACGUACAGUUUUUCUAUGCAGACUUUGGCUUCAGGAAAGACACAAACACUUGAAAUAAUGGCUUUAGGUGUCACUUUGGGACAGGGAUGUGUGUGUUUCCAUUAAAUAUACAUCAUACCGGUGAUGCUGGGGAGGUUGAAGGCUAUUCCUAACGCUGACAGCGAUAAAACCAACGUGUACAGGACAAGACGUAAAAA